rnacentral:rRNA from 1 species
UGGGGAAUAUUGCACAAUGGGGGAAACCCUGAUGCAGCGACGCCGCGUGGAGGAAGAAGGUCUUCGGAUUGUAAACUCCUGUUGUUGGGGAAGAUAAUGACGGUACCCAACAAGGAAGUGACGGCUAACUACGUGCCAGCAGCCGCGGUAAAACGUAGGUCACAAGCGUUGUCCGGAAUUACUGGGUGUAAAGGGAGCGCAGGCGGGAAGACAAGUUGGAAGUGAAAUCUAUGGGCUCAACCCAUAAACUGCUUUCAAAACUGUUUUUCUUGAGUAGUGCAGAGGUAGGCGGAAUUCCCGGUGUAGCGGUGGAAUGCGUAGAUAUUAGGAGGAACACCAGUGGCGAAGGCGGCCAACUGGGCUUUUACUGACGCUGAGGCUCGAAAGUGUGGGGAGCAAACAGGAUUAGAUACCCUGGUAGUCCACACCGUAAACGAUGAUUACUAGGUGUGGGGGGACUGACCCCUUCCGUGCCGGAGUUAACACAAUAAGUAAUCCACCUGGGGAGUACGACCGCAAGGUUGAAACUCAAAGGAAUUGACGGGGGCCCGCACAAGCAGUGGAGUAUGUGGUUUAAUUCGACGCAACGCGAAGAACCUUACCAAGUCUUGACAUCCCUUGACAGACAUAGAAAUAUGUAAUCUCUUCGGAGCAAGGAGACAGGUGGUGCAUGGUUGUCGUCAGCUCGUGUCGUGAGAUGUUGGGUUAAGUCCCGCAACGAGCGCAACCCUUAUAGUCAGUUACUACGCAAGAGGACUCUGGCCAGACUGCCGUUGACAAAACGGAGGAAGGUGGGGAUGACGUCAAAUCAUCAUGCCCUUUAUGACUUGGGCUACACACGUACUACAAUGGCGUUAAACAAAAAGAAGCAAGACCGCGAGGUGGAGCAAAACUCAGAAACAACGUCCCAGUUCGGACUGCAGGCUGCAACUCGCCUGCACGAAGUCGGAAUUGCUAGUAAUCGUGGAUCAGCAUGCCACGGUGAAUACGUUCCC